rnacentral:rRNA from 1 species
GGGAUUAGCUAGUAGGUAAGGUAAUGGCUUACCUAGGCGACGAUCCCUAGCUGGUCUGAGAGGAUGACCAGCCACACUGGAACUGAGACACGGUCCAGACUCCUACGGGAGGCAGCAGUGGGGAAUAUUGCACAAUGGGCGCAAGCCUGAUGCAGCCAUGCCGCGUGUAUGAAGAAGGCCUUCGGGUUGUAAAGUACUUUCAGUCAGGAGGAAGGGUGUGAAAUUAAUACUUUCAUGCAUUGACGUUACUGACAGAAGAAGCACCGGCUAACUCCGUGCCAGCAGCCGCGGUAAUACGGAGGGUGCAAGCGUUAAUCGGAAUUACUGGGCGUAAAGCGCACGCAGGCGGUUUGUUAAGUCAGAUGUGAAAUCCCCGGGCUCAACCUGGGAACUGCAUUUGAAACUGGCAAGCUU